rnacentral:rRNA from 1 species
ACUCCUACGGGAGGCAGCAGUGGGGAAUAUUGGACAAUGGGCGCAAGCCUGAUCCAGCCAUGCCGCGUGAGUGAUGAAGGCCUUAGGGUUGUAAAGCUCUUUCAGUAGGGAAGAUAAUGACGGUACCUACAGAAGAAGCCCCGGCUAACUUCGUGCCAGCAGCCGCGGUAAU